UACGUAGGGUGCAAGCGUUGUCCGGAAUUAUUGGGCGUAAAGAGCUCGUAGGCGGUCUGUCGCGUCGGCUGUGAAAUCCCGAGGCUCAACCUCGGGUCUGCAGUCGAUACGGGCAAACUGGAGUGUUGCAGGGGAGACUGGAAUUCCUGGUGUAGCGGUGAAAAUGCGCAGAUAUCAGGAGGAACACCGGUGGCGAAGGCGGCUUGCUGGGCCUUACCUGACGCUGAGGAGCGAAAGCGUGGGGGAGCAAACAGG
rnacentral:rRNA from 1 species